GGGAGAUUUAGAACCAUAGAAUCAGAGAACUGUCUGGGUUGGAUGGAACCUUGAAAGUCACCUAGUUACAACCCCCAUGUCACCCCUUAGUCCAUUCUCUUUGUCACUUAAGACAUCAAAAUAAUCAUCAGUCGAGACCGAUCCAGGCAAAGUCACCAAGCUGAGCUCCCUGAAGCAUCUGCUUUCCCAGAAAAAGCAGCUUUGGCAGAGUGCUGCCACCUGAAUGCUAAUGAACGCC
rnacentral:lncRNA from 12 species